rnacentral:tRNA from 1 species
GGUGAUUGCUCAGUGGUAAAGUGCUCACCUAGCAUGUGCAAGGCCCUGGGUUCGAUCCUCAGCACCA